UGCUUCUCCUGGCGGCCCCCUGCUCUCUCCACUCGCACCGGCGGCAGAAGAGGGACGCGGUGUGGCGAGCAGACCGGGCGGGCUCCGCAUCAUGCCGCCUCCGCUCCGGCCGCCAAAGGGCGCGGCGCCCUGGGCCUCCUUCUCUGCGACGCCCUCGUCGCCGCGGAGGCCCCCGCCUACAUUCUCAUUCUUCUUCCCCUCGUCUCGGUCGACCACUGCCUGUCCUCGCGCCGCAGCUGGUAUGGCCGAGCGGCACGAGGCCGCUGCCUUCGCCGCUGCCCACCCACGGCCGGUCCGAGGCGAAUGCACAUGGCUGGCCCGACUUCGCCGCUCCUCGCCCGCGGUUAGUCCGUCGCGGCCGUAGCCGCCCAUGGUCGGUCCGUCGCCACCGCAGCCGCCUCCCCGCGGCCUGCCCAGCACCACGGCUCCUCGCUCGUGGUCGGCCCGGCGGCGACCGCCGCUCCCAGUCCGCGGCCGUAACGGCGUCGUUGCUCUCCGCUCGCCGGCGGCGACCGCGUCCCCCGCUGCGAGCACUGCUGGGCCUAUUUCAGCAGCAACUCCGGUCUGAAGCGCGGGCCUGGUCCACGCCCUGCGGAAGCUCGACGGAUUCGACGACGACACCGAACGCCGAUUCCAGCGCCCCGACGCGUGCCCCAGUUCAACUCUUAUUUUAUCGACCUCGAGAUCUCAGCGAGAUAAAACCACAACUAUACGGGUACAAGUUCUACAGCUCACCUCCUCUUCGUCUUCCAGCAAGGAGCAGCAGUCAGCAGGAAGCCGAGGAAAAAACCAAGCUGCUUGGAUCUGCAGAGACUCAGGUCGGCCAGAUUGCUCAUUUCGUAGCCAGCAAAUGAAGUUUCCACUCUGAAAACAGGAUCUGUAGAUACUCUUUGUAUUCAGACAUCAAGCUUCAGUCAGUUAUCGACGCUAUUAGUGACUGCAUAAAUGGGAUCCCCAUCACAUGCUGCUUCAGAGCCACAGACAGAAAUGGAGGAGCAGAGUGAAACCGCCACAGGAGCCACAGUGGCAGCAGUCAUAUGGAGAAGGCCAUUACACCUGAUCUUUGUGUAUUGUGGGCUGAAACUGCCACCAGUACCAGCAUGGAUGCGACCUAUUAUCAGCUACAUAAACUCACGUUUACCUCCACGCUUGCACCCAUUUAGAUGGCUAUGCAAAACCCUGAUCAAGAACAUAAAACUCUGUGUCAGCUCAGGCACACUUAUAUGGACAGUUAUCUUCAUCAUUUGCUUACCAAAAGGUGAAAGAAACAAGCUUGCAGUUAAGUGUAUCCACAACCUUUCUACUUCAGAUGGUUACUCCUUUACUGCUGACAUUGGCCCACAUUAUCGAAGCUGCAUGGUUCACAUUUGAUCCUGCUUAUUUAAUCGUUUCGUGGCAGUACCUUACUAGCUGGUGCAUGACCCAUUAAGUUGUAAUCUAGCUUCUAUUGGCAGUCGGCCUCCUUUUGAUGGAUAAAUCCAAUCCAUCUAAGAAACCAGCAAUGGAAUUGCUUCAGGUACUCCAGCAACUGCAUGAGCACUACCUGAUGAUGGCAGCAUCUUUUCAAGGUCUACAAUGCUGCUGUCAGACAUGCUCAUCAGCACCACCUAAGCACGGUACUAGCUGUACAAAGCCAUGACCAAGGAUCACCAACAGCACUUGGAGUGCCUUAGUAAGAAUUAAUAGUUAUGAGAACUAAACCUCUAGCUAAUGCAUAUUAAGUAUUUAAGUUCUUCGUUCCAUAUUAGAACUGCUUGUUUAAUUUUGCGCAGCAUUUUGAAAAUAAAGCAAUGGUGCAUGUCUGUAUGGCCAACAAGAGAGCACAAUUCCAUUGCAAAUAUUUUGCAUCUUGCUACCUUAACCAAAUGUGAUUGAUUGGGCUAUUUCAGCAAAAUUAUCCUCGAACUAUUGGAAUGCUAAUCUGUAUGGACCAUUUAGUUACUUUGCCCAUCUUAUGACAAUGAUAACUCUACUAA